UAGGGAAUCUUCGGCGAUGAGGGCAACCCUGACCGAGCAACGCCGCGUGAGUGAAGAAGGUUUUCGGAUCGUAAAGCUCUGUUGUAAGAGAAGAACGUGUGUGAGAGUGGAAAGUUCACACAGUGACGGUAACUUACCAGAAAGGGACGGCUAACUACGUGCCAG
rnacentral:rRNA from 1 species